UUCUAUUAAAAAUAAUUAAUAGUAUAAUCUGCUCAAUGAUAUUAAAUAGCCGCUAUUAUUGUGCUAAGGUAGCAUAAUCAUUUGUCUUUUAAUUGAAGACUAGAACAAAAGAUUAAACAAUUUAAUUAAUAUAUAAAAAUUAAUUAUUUAAAUUUAUUCUAAAUGUUAAAAAACCUUUAUAUAAAAGAAAGACGACAAGACCCUAUUAAACUUAACUUAAGUUCAACUGGGGCAGUUAAUCAAUUAUUAUUUUAAUAUAAAUUUUUAUUAAAAAAUCCAAUAUAAUUGAUUAUAUAACUAAGUUACUAUAGGGAUAACAGCGUAAUAUUAAUCUAAAGAUCUUUAAAUAAAAUGUUUGCGACCUCGAUGUUGAAUUAAUAACCUAAAUUAUUGCAAUAAAUAAAUAAAGGAAGUCCGUUCGACUUUUAAAAAAUUACA
rnacentral:rRNA from 1 species